UACGGAGAGUGCAAGCAUUAAUCGGAAUUAUUGGGCGUAAAGGGCGCGUAGGCGGGAUAGUAAGUCAGAUGUGAAAUACUGAAGCUCAACUUCAGUGCUGCAUUUGAAACUGCAAUUCUUGAGGGUUGACGGAGAAAACGGAAUUCCACGUGUAGCGGUGAAAUGCGUAGAUAUGUGGAAGAACACCUGUGGCGAAAGCGGUUUUCUAGUUAACACCUGACGCUGAGGCGCGAGAGCAAGGGGAGCAAAC
rnacentral:rRNA from 1 species